rnacentral:sRNA from 1 species
UUUUAGCCCAGAUGGCAGUGGAAAGCCCGGACUCUCGUUGUCUAGUUUUUUGUGAGUAGCGCUAAGCGACUAAAAGAAGCUUGGGCGAUGCUCUACAAAAACAGAUAAGGAGAGGAGGACUUGUAACGUACAGCUGGAAAUGCU